AGCGAACGCUGGCGGCAGGCCUAACACAUGCAAGUCGAGCGCCCCGCAAGGUGAGCGGCCGACGGGAGAGUAACACGUGGGAACCUACCCUUCAGUUCGGAACAACCCAGGGCAACUUGGGCUAAUACCGGAUACGUCCGUAAGGAGAAAGAUUUAUCGCUGAAGGAUUGGCCCGCGUCCGAUUGGCUAGGUGGUGAGGUAACGGCUCACCAAGGCGACGAUAGGCAGCUGGUCGGCGAGGAUGAUCAGCCUCACUGGGACCGAGAGACGGCCCAGACUCCUACGGGAGGCAGCAGUGGGGAAUAUUGGACAAUGGGCGCAAGCCUGAUCCAGCCAUGCCGCGUGGAUGAUGAAGGCCCUAGGGUUGUAAAGUCCUUUCGGCGGGGAAGAUAAUGACGGUACCCGCAGAAGAAGCCCCGGCUAACUUCGUGCCAGCAGCCGCCGUAAGAC
rnacentral:rRNA from 1 species